rnacentral:rRNA from 1 species
UACGUAGGGGGCUAGCGUUGUCCGGAUUUAUUGGGCGUAAAGAGCGUGUAGGCGGCCAGGUAGGUCUGGUGUGAAAACUCGAGGCUUAACCUCGAGAUGUCAUCGGAAACCAUCUGGCUAGAGUCCGGAAGAGGAGAGUGGAAUUCCUGGUGUAGCGGUGAAAUGCGCAGAUAUCAGGAGGAACACCGGUGGCGAAGGCGGGUCUCCGGGCCGAUACUGACGCUGAGGAGCGAAAGCGUGGGGAGCGAACAGG